GUCUACGGCCAUACCACACCGAAUGCGCCUGAUCUUAGAAGCUAAGCAGGGUCAGGCUUGGCUAGCACUUGGAUGGGAGACCACCUGGGAAUAUCGGGUGUUGUUCCCA
rnacentral:rRNA from 1 species